UGGAAUCUAUCUUUGAUUCUCUGAUAAGCACCGUUGGUGUGUUAGUUGCUUAUAGCAGUCGUAUAUAUAUUUUGUGUCGGCUGCAAUUGCUCUUGGUCUGCUAACGGCUGCAGUCGUAUCCUUAUCAUCAUCAUCAUCAUUAUCACGGUCCCAAGGUUUCACGAUGAGACCAACCGAGUGAUGGAUUUAUUUUGAAUAAGUUACUGCUAUAUAAUGCUCCCCGAAAAGCUCUUGAACACCGAAGCCCUGGUCCCCCGUAGUAAAAUGGUUGUCGCAAUUGUUGUUGGACUUCUUAUUAAUAGUAUAGUACUUUGGAAAAUUUGGUCCUUCGCGUUAAGGGCCCGGGAGAUUUCUAUAUAAAACUUCUCCACUCCAAUUAAUCGUUGAUGGAUGAUAAGA